rnacentral:rRNA from 1 species
AGGGCACCACCAGGAGUGGAGCCUGCGGCUUAAUUUGACUCAACACGGGAAAACUCACCCGGCCCGGACACCGUAAGGAUUGACAGACUGAGAGCUCUUUCUUAAUUCGGUGGGUGGUGGUGCAUGGCCGUUCUUAGUUGGUGGAGCGAUUUGUCUGGUUAAUUCCGAUAACGAACGAGACUCUGGCCUAUUAAAUAGACGGAAUAUCACUUAAGUAUUCCGCGCUUCUUAGAGGGACAAGCGGCGUCUAGCCGCAUGAAAUAGAGCAAUAACAGGUCUGUGAUGCCCUUAGAUGUCCGGGGCUGCACGCGCGCUACACUGAAGGAAUCAGUGUGCUCAUUCGCCUAGUUCGGAAGAACCGGGUAACCCAAGUAAAUUCUUUCGUGCUUGGGAUAGGGAAUUGCAAUUAUUUCCCUUAAACGAGGAAUUCCCAGUAAGUGCGGGUCAUAAGCUCGCGUUGAUUACGUCCCUGCCCUUUGUACACACCGCCCGUCGCUACUACCGAUUGGAUGACUUAGU